rnacentral:pre_miRNA from 1 species
CAUAUACUCCCUCCAUUCGGAAUUACUCGUCGUAGAAAUGAAUAUAUCUAGACAUUUUUUAGUUCUAGAUACAUCCAUUUCUGCGACAAGUAAUUCGGAACGGAGGGAGUAGGUA